ACAACCUACGGGGCGCAGCAGUCGGGAAUAUUGCACAAUGGAGGAAACUCUGAUGCAGUGACACCGCGUAUAGGAAGAAGGUUUUCGGAUUGUAAACUAUUUUAGACAGGGAAGAAAAAAGACAGUACCUGUAGAAUAAGCUCCGGCUAACUACGUGCCAGCAGCCGCGGUACUACGUAGGGAGCAAGCGUUAUCCGGAAUUAUUGGGUGUAACGGGAGCGUAGACGGGACAGCAAGUUAGUUGUGAAAGCCCUCGGCUUAACUGAG
rnacentral:rRNA from 1 species